UACGUAGGGGGCAAGCGUUGUCCGAAGUUACUGGGCGUAAAGCGCGCGUAGGCGGGUUGGUAAGUCCGCUGUGAAAGCCCGGAGCUCAACUCCGGAGGGUCGGUGGAUACUGCCAGUCUUGAAGGUGCUAGGGGGAGAUGGAAUUACCGGUGUAGCGGUGAAAUGCGUAGAUAUCGGUAGGAACACCUGCGGCGAAGGCGGCUUCCUGGACCGCAACUGACGCUGAGGCGCGAAAGCUAGGGGAGCAAACAGG
rnacentral:rRNA from 1 species